rnacentral:misc_RNA from 5 species
UCUUUUAAAAUUAAUCUAAAAAGUACAGUGACACAAUAAAUUUGUGCCACUGUACUUAU